GGAUAACUACUGGAAACGGUGGCUAAUACCGCAUAACGUCGCAAGACCAAAGAGGGGGACCUUCGGGCCUCUUGCCAUCAGAUGUGCCCAGAUGGGAUUAGCUUGUUGGUGAGGUAACGGCUCACCAAGGCGACGAUCCCUAGCUGGUCUGAGAGGAUGACCAGCCACACUGGAACUGAGACACGGUCCAGACUCCUACGGGAGGCAGCAGUGGGGAAUAUUGCACAAUGGGCGCAAGCCUGAUGCAGCCAUGCCGCGUGUAUGAAGAAGGCCUUCGGGUUGUAAAGUACUUUCAGCGGGGAGGAAGGUGUUGUGGUUAAUAACCGCAGCAAUUGACGUUACCCGCAGAAGAAGCACCGGCUAACUCCGUGCCAGCAGCCGCGGUAAUACGGAGGGUGCAAGCGUUAAUCGGAAUUACUGGGCGUAAAGCGCACGCAGGCGGUCUGUCAAGUCGGAUGUGAAAUCCCCGGGCUCAACCUGGGAACUGCAUUCGAAACUGGCAGGCUUGAGUCUUGUAGAGGGGGGUAGAAUUCCAGGUGUAGCGGUGAAAUGCGUAGAGAUCUGGAGGAAUACCGGUGGCGAAGGCGGCCCCCUGGACAAAGACUGACGCUCAGGUGCGAAAGCGUGGGGAGCAAACAGGAUUAGAUACCCUGGUAGUCCACGCCGUAAACGAUGUCUACUUGGAGGUUGUGCCCUUGAGGCGUGGCUUCCGGAGCUAACGCGUUAAGUAGACCGCCUGGGGAGUACGGCCGCAAGGUUAAAACUCAAAUGAAUUGACGGGGGCCCGCACAAGCGGUGGAGCAUGUGGUUUAAUUCGAUGCAACGCGAAGAACCUUACCUGGUCUUGACAUCCACAGAAGAAUCCAGAGAUGGAUUUGUGCCUUCGGGAACUGUGAGACAGGUGCUGCAUGGCUGUCGUCAGCUCGUGUUGUGAAAUGUUGGGUUAAGUCCCGCAACGAGCGCAACCCUUAUCCUUUGUUGCCAGCGGUUAGGCCGGGAACUCAAAGGAGACUGCCAGUGAUAAACUGGAGGAAGGUGGGGAUGACGUCAAGUCAUCAUGGCCCUUACGACCAGGGCUACACACGUGCUACAAUGGCGCAUACAAAGAGAAGCGACCUCGCGAGAGCAAGCGGACCUCAUAAAGUGCGUCGUAGUCCGGAUUGGAGUCUGCAACUCGACUCCAUGAAGUCGGAAUCGCUAGUAAUCGUGGAUCAGAAUGCCACGGUGAAUACGUUCCCGGGCCUUGUACACACCGCCCGUCACACCAUGGGAGUGGGUUGCAAAAGAAGUAGGUAGCUUAACCUUCGGGAGGGCGCUUACCACUUUGUGAUUCAUGACUGGGGUGAAGUCGUAACAAGGUAACCGUAGGGGAACCUGCGGUUGGAUCACCUCCUUACCUUAAAGAAGC
rnacentral:rRNA from 1 species